rnacentral:rRNA from 1 species
CCUACGGGAGGCAGCAGUGAGGAAUAUUGGUCAAUGGGCGCGAGCCUGAACCAGCCAAGUAGCGUGAAGGAUGACGGCCCUACGGAUUGUAAACUUCUUUUGUCAGGGAGCAAUUGGGUCCACGCGUGGGCUUAGCAAGAGUACCUGAAGAAAAAGCUUCGGCUAACUCCGUGCCAGCAGCCGCGGUAAUACGGAGGAUGCGAGCGUUAGCGGGAUUUUUUGGGUUUAAAGGGUGCGUAGGUGGAAUAUCAAGUCAGCGGUAAAGAUUCGGGGCGCAACCCCGUCGUGCCGUUGAAACUGAUGUUCUUGAGUGGGCGAGAAGUAUGCGGAAGGCGGGGUGUAGCGGUGAAAUGCAUAGAUAUCACGCAGAACUCCGAUUGCGAAGGCAGCAUACCGGCGCCCAACUGACGCUGAAGCACGAAAGCGGGGGUAUCGAACAGGAUGAGAUACCCUUGUAGUC